AUUACGAGUAAAGAUGCUCGUUUCGCGCAGCAGGACGGAAAGACCCCGGGACCACUAUAGCUUGAUAUUGGUGUUCGGUUCGGCUUGUGUAGGAUAGGUGGGAGACUUUGAAGCAGCAACGCCAGUUGUUGUGGAGUCGCCGUUGAAAUACCACUCUGGUCGUGCUGGAUGUCUAACCUGGGUCCGUGAUCCGGAUCAGGGACAGUGUCUGGUGGGUAGUUUAACUGGGGCGGUUGCCUCCUAAAGGGUAACGGAGGCGCCCAAAGGUUCCCUCAGCCUGGUUGGCAAUCAGGUGUUGAGUGUAAGUGCACAAGGGAGCUUGACUGUGAGACUGACGGGUCGAGCAGGUACGAAAGUAGGGACUAGUGAUCCGGCGGUGGCUUGUGGAAGCGCCGUCGCUCAACGGAUAAAGGUACCCCGGGGAUAACAGGCUGAUCUUCCCCAAGAGUCCAUAUCGACGGGAUGGUUUGGCACCUCGAUGUCGGCUCGUCGCAUCCUGGGGCUGGAGUAGGUCCCAAGGGUUGGGCUGUUCGCCCAUUAAAGCGGUACGCGAGCUGGGUUUAGAACGUCGUGAGACAGUUCGGUCCCUAUCCGCUGUGCGCGUAGGAGUGUUGAGAAGGGCUGUCCCUAGUACGAGAGGACCGGGACGGACGAACCUCUGGUGUGCCAGUUGUCCUGCCAAGGGCAUGGCUGGUUGGCUACGUUCGGGAGGGAUAACCGCUGAAAGCAUCUAAGCGGGAAGCCUGCUUCGAGAUGAGCACUCCCACCUCCUUGAGAGGGUAAGGCUCCCAGUAGACGACUGGGUUGAUAGGCCGGAUAUGGAAGCCCUGUGAGGGGUGGAGUUGACCGGUACUAAUAGGCCGA
rfam:Kitasatospora cheerisanensis KCTC 2395 genomic scaffold scaffold00001, whole genome shotgun sequence.